ACAGCUCCGCUGCACCACCAGCCCUCUACCAUGCUGAGCUGAGCCUCCUCCAGUUCCCCUGCUGCAAGACCGUUCCUGCCUUGGGACCUCUGAACCUGCUGUUGGCCUGCCUGGAAAAUUCUUCCCUCCUUACCUUGUUUACUCUUAUAGGGCCUUCACAUCUUGGCUAACAUGUGAAUCGCCCAAAGAAACCUCUGGUCUCCCAGGGGUUCAGGUCCUACCGUCUCCCCAAUACGAUGUUAUGAAACUCUCACUUCUUGGCAUUUAUCUCAUUUCCCAGACGGAAUCAGUCCCCAAUGCCUGGAAAUUCCUCAUUGGAUUACUGUGUUUUAAACAGAAUUUUGUGAACAGCCUUUUAUCUCCAAGCAGAAAGAAAGAUGUGGAAAGCUUCAGCAGGCCACGCUGUGUCCAUCGCCCAGGAUGACGCGGGGGCCGAUGACUGGGAGACCGACCCCGAUUUUGUGAAUGAUGUGAGUGAGAAGGAGCAAAGAUGGGGUGCCAAGACGGUGCAGGGCUCCGGGCACCAGGAGCAUAUCAACAUACACAAGCUGAGGGAGAAUGUCUUUCAAGAGCAUCAGACCCUUAAGGAGAAGGAACUUGAAACAGGACCAAAAGCUUCCCACGGCUAUGGAGGGAAAUUUGGUGUGGAACAAGACCGAAUGGAUAAGUCAGCUGUCGGCCACGAAUAUCAGUCGAAACUUUCCAAGCACUGCUCGCAGGUGGACUCGGUCCGUGGCUUCGGAGGCAAGUUUGGUGUCCAGAUGGACAGAGUUGAUCAGUCUGCUGUAGGCUUUGAAUACCAGGGGAAGACUGAGAAGCAUGCCUCCCAGAAAGACUACUCCAGUGGUUUUGGCGGCAAGUAUGGCGUGCAGGCCGACCGAGUAGACAAGAGCGCGGUGGGCUUCGACUACCAGGGCAAGACGGAGAAGCACGAGUCACAGAGAGAUUACUCCAAAGGUUUCGGCGGCAAAUACGGUAUCGACAAGGACAAAGUGGAUAAGAGCGCCGUUGGCUUUGAGUAUCAAGGCAAAACGGAGAAGCACGAGUCCCAGAAAGACUAUGUGAAAGGGUUUGGAGGAAAAUUUGGUGUGCAGACAGACAGACAAGACAAAUGUGCCCUUGGCUGGGAUCACCAGGAGAAAUUGCAGCUGCAUGAAUCCCAAAAAGAUUAUAAGACUGGUUUUGGAGGCAAAUUCGGUGUUCAGUCGGAGAGGCAGGACUCCGCUGCUGUGGGGUUUGAUUACAAGGAGAAGCUGGCCAAGCACGAGUCCCAGCAAGACUACUCCAAAGGAUUCGGCGGGAAGUAUGGGGUGCAGAAGGAUCGGAUGGAUAAGAAUGCGUCAACCUUUGAGGAUGUCACCCAGGUGUCCUCUGCCUACCAGAAGACAGUACCUGUCGAAGCUGUGACCAGCAAAACAAGUAACAUCAGAGCUAACUUUGAAAACCUCGCUAAGGAGAAAGAGCAGGAGGACAGGCGGAAGGCGGAGGCGGAGAGAGCCCAGCGGAUGGCCAAGGAGCGGCAGGAGCAGGAAGAGGCCAGGAGGAAGCUGGAGGAGCAAGCCAGAGCCAAAACGCAAACGCCCCCUGCGUCGCCCGCACCUCAGCCAACCGAGGAGAGGCUGCCCUCGAGCCCCAUCUAUGAGGAUGCGGCUUCCUUCAAGGCAGAGCUGAGCUACAGAGGCCCUGUGAGUGGGACGGAGCCGGAGCCCGUGUACAGCAUGGAGGCCGCUGACUACCGAGAGGCCAGCAGCCAGCAGGGCCUGGCCUAUGCCACAGAGGCUGUCUAUGAAAGCGCAGAGGCCCCGGGCCACUAUCCCGCAGAGGACAGCACCUACGAUGAGUACGAGAAUGAUCUGGGGAUCACAGCCGUCGCCCUGUACGACUACCAGGCUGCGGGCGAUGAUGAGAUCUCAUUUGACCCUGAUGACAUCAUCACCAACAUCGAGAUGAUUGAUGACGGCUGGUGGCGCGGGGUGUGCAAGGGCCGGUACGGGCUCUUCCCAGCCAACUAUGUGGAGCUGCGGCAGUAGGGCCCCCAGCCCCCCGGAGCUGCGCCCUGGAUCCUCACACUACAGAUCAGGCCUUCUUUGGUUCUUGGGUGGUUUUGGGUUUUUUCUGUUUUUUUUUUUUUUGAAGGUGGGGAGGGGAAUAUACACAUUGCUUUUAUAUUUAAUACUUUUGCUGAUGCUUUUGAAAAUGUUUAUGCCACAGAAUUUGCUAAUAUAUUGUAAUCACAUUCCUUAGGAGGACUUUGGUAAUUGGUUUUAUGCAUUGAUGGUUUUUUUUUUCUUUUUUGCCAAAUUGACUGUCACGCGGCAGCUUCAGGGAGCUCGCAUUCUCUUGUGUGCGUGUUGCCCUCGUGCCCAUCAAGUGCAGUCGGGACCUCCCAGGACAAGCACGAGGCCUCAGGUCGGCCCUGUGGCGGGUAGGCAGGAAGGACUGUCCCAGACGAGGGGCCUCCUCUAGAGUCUCACUGCUGGGGAGGAGAGGACUGGGCCUGAUGGAAGUUAACCCGGAGCUAAGUCACCCAGAGCACAGGAGCUGCCAUGUCAGAUGGGAAAUCUGCCUAUGUCAUACCGUGACAGCCCGCAGGAUCAGGUGACUUCUAGCAGAGACCCUGGUUUUUUUCCUGUGCCCACUCCAGCUUGUCCUCAUCUCUACCCAUCCCCUGAUGCCCAGGUUGCCGGGAGGGCUGCUGGGAGCCUCUCCUGCCCCCGCCGGGCAGUGUCACUGAGUCCUUGAAAUCCUCCCCUGCCCCGCGGGUCUCUGGAUUGGGACGCACAGUGCAGUUGAGGUCUGCGUCGGGCUUGGCUUUUCACAGAGGCUGAUGUCUUAACUGUCACCCAUAUGGUCCCUGGGCCACCGGGCAGCCUGGGGCGGUGUGUGUGCCAUGUCACAGCAUGGCCUCUCGGCCUUGGGAAGGAAGGCAGUGCCUGCUCUGCUGUGAGCCGCCAGGAACCCUCCUCCUGUCAAUGGGGGUGUAGUAUUUUUGCCAAAAUAUCAUGUUCAAUUACAGUAGUUUGAUCAGUUGAAGGCUAGAAGUGUGAAGUGCAGAUGAGUGUGUGUUCUUCCCCAAGGUCCCCCCACAGCUCCAGGACACCGCUGUCCUGGCAUUUGUGGCCACUCACUUUGUAGGAAACUCAUCUCCUUCCUGAGGAGCCGGGAGGCUGGACCAGUCCCGUCGUGCAGUCAGGUGGGCGGUGUGUCUUUCCAGAAGGUCACGUGGAAAUGUCUCGGGACUUGGGUCCCGGAGUGCCCAUGAAGCGUGUUUUUGCUCCUGAGGUGCAUUUUCUCAUCAUCCUUGCUUUACCACAAUGAGCAAUGAGGUCGGGUUUUAUAUGCAACUUAUUGUAUCUGAAUUCCUGUAGCACACCUCAUAGGUAUGAUUUUUUUAAAUUAAAGAAUUCAGAAUAAACUUUUUUUGAUCCA